UGGGGAAUAUUGCACAAUGGGGGAAACCCUGAUGCAGCGACGCCGCGUGGAGGAAGAAGGUCUUCGGAUUGUAAACUCCUGUUGUUGAGGAAGAUAAUGACGGUACUCAACAAGGAAGUGACGGCUAACUACGUGCCAGCAGCCGCGGUAAAACGUAGGUCACAAGCGUUGUCCGGAAUUACUGGGUGUAAAGGGAGCGCAGGCGGGAAGGCAAGUUGGAAGUGAAAUCCAUGGGCUCAACCCAUGAACUGCUUUCAAAACUGUUUUUCUUGAGUAGUGCAGAGGUAGGCGGAAUUCCCGGUGUAGCGGUGGAAUGCGUAGAUAUCGGGAGGAACACCAGUGGCGAAGGCGGCCUAC
rnacentral:rRNA from 1 species